UACGUAGGGGGCUAGCGUUGUCCGGAUUUAUUGGGCGUAAAGAGCGUGUAGGCGGCCAUGUAGGUCUGGUGUGAAAACUCGAGGCUUAACCUCGAGAUGUCAUCGGAAACCAUUUGGCUAGAGUCCGGAAGAGGAGAGUGGAAUUCCUGGUGUAGCGGUGAAAUGCGCAGAUAUCAGGAAGAACACCAAUGGCGAAAGCAGCUCGCUGGGACGGUACUGACGCUGAGACGCGAAAGCGUGGGGAGCGAACAGG
rnacentral:rRNA from 1 species